rnacentral:lncRNA from 1 species
CUACAAUUGAACCCUGCAUGCUAGAGUUGAUCCAAAACUCAAGGGGAAGGUUUUUUUGGCACCAAAGAAGCUUUCUUACUCGAAGCUUCUAGAUUAGAAGAUCUUUGUGACUCGAUUAAGGUGCAGACUCUCAUCUUCCUCUUCUCCUUCUAAGGAUGGACAUUUUGUUCUGAACCUAGUCCCCAUUAGGGUUUUUUUUAGGGAGUCAAUAGCGGGAAUUGUCAAUAGGCCCUUUGGAGUUGAAAGUUGGUCAUUGUUUCAACCUCCAAUUGACUAUCUUAUGCAACUGUUGAAAGAGGGGACUUCUAUUGGAGCUCAAGGGGCUAAAUGUGGUCCCUUAAGGAUGGUAUUCCAAGACGACACGUCAUUGGUGUUUUCGGAAAAUUGUUCAAGU